UUCAGGUGUUUUCUGGGAAUGAAACUCCUGCGUGCUGAAAGAUGGGAUGUUGUUUCUCCUCUCCCGAUGGAGAGAACGAGAGAGAACCUUUGCUUCAAUCCAGCAAUAAAACACAAACUGAAUCUGCAAGACCACCACGACCUGCAGCUAAUGCAGAUGGAGUUCAGAAGAGCGGCAGCUUUACUGCUCGUCGUGUUGGCGUUCCCGGCCUCGAUGAGCGUUUUACUGACGUUGCUGAUACUUUCAACAAACAGCAGGACCGUUAUGAAACGAUGAAGAAUCAGCUUCAGACUCUUUCAAGCCACUUCCACUGCCCAAGUAACGACAGUCUGUCUCAAUGCCUGAAGAAAAUCAAGGAGAAACAUGAGCUCUGCCACAUCAGUCUGGAGGUUAAAGGAUACGACUUCAGUCUGAUGGUGAGAUCAGAGGCCGAGAUCCCCAGCGAACUGAAGCGGACGCAGGAGAACGUCACCGAGCUGAGCCGAGCCGCCAAAGCCAUCAUCUCCGUCAGCACUAAACUCAACGAAAUGAUCGACUCGCUUCUGAGAGCCGAGGACAGCAUGAUCAAUCAGGUCGAAGCUGCUGAAUCCAGACACCAGGAGCAGAGGAGGCUGGUGGACAACCUGCGGGAAAACCUCAGAGAGGCUCGGAGAGCCAAAGAGCUGAGUCCGAAGUACAGGAAAGAGGCUGGAAAUCUCCUCAAUGAGGCCGCAUUGCUCUCUGCAAUCACACCGUGAACUGACUUAGUCUCUUAGCUAUUAGCAAAUAUGAAGGAUUCUAUAAUGUUAAACAGUGAAGAGAAGACUUUAUCUCAAAACAAAAGUGAGAAAUUGCAAUGUUGCAACUGCACAUAUACAGUGGCAGUACAAAUAUACAAGAUGCAUAAAAUAAUAUUAGAAUUAUAAAAAAACAGAACAUGCAUGUAAUGCACAAAUCCACAUGUAAAUAUGUCUCGGCU
rnacentral:lncRNA from 1 species